UUUGGCAGCUGUCAAUGUGUCAAUAUUAAUUUAAUAUGUCAGAGCCAGAAGCAGUAUUCAGCACAAUUUUAAAUUGAGUUAUAAUGUGACACACGAGAUGAUGGGCUGGUGCUGGUGCUGGUGCUGCGACUCUCCCAAAACAUGCCAUUAGGGGUUGUACUUCUCACAACACUCAAGUGGUUAUUCGAGGAUAUUCAAUAUCCUAGCGAUCAACCCCUCUUGACUUUGACGACUGUUUUCAUGUACCUACUUUAGGAGGGCCUCUGGUAGACGUCGAACAAUUUGUUAAUGAGCAAAUUACAUGCAGAACAGUGGACACGCCCUCAAAGUGAUUCACAACCUCCAUUACGUCCCCAUACAUUUUCCCAAGAAAUUUUGGGAAAUUCUUUCGAUGAUAAGGCAAACAACUAUAAAAACUGUUGAAGCGUAAAAGGAUGCCCCCAGA